UACAGAGGUCUCAAGCGUUUGUUCGGAUUCAUUGGGCGUAAAGGGUGCGUAGGUGGCGCCGUAAGUCAGGUGUGAAAUUUCGGAGCUUAACUCCGAAACUGCAUUUGAUACUGCGGUGCUUGAGGACUGGAGAGGAGACUGGAAUUUACGGUGUAGCAGUGAAAUGCGUAGAUAUCGUAAGGAAGACCAGUGGCGAAGGCGAAUCUCUGGACAGUUACUGACACUGAGGCACGAAGGCCAGGG
rnacentral:rRNA from 1 species